UUACACAAAUCUACCAACCUUGCUGACCUUUGUUUCUUAUUUAUUAGGUGAGGUUUGGGGCCGGCCAGUCUCUGAAGUCACUUCUUGCUAUAAAAUGCUUGAUUUCCAAAUUCCUGGAAUGGACCAAUCUUGGUUGCUAAUUUAAGGUGCUCAUGAAAAGUUGUUUCAUCUUCUUCACAGGGAUGGAACUUAGGCUUUAUAAUGAGCAGCAAUGUUCAUUCUUUGUAAAUGAGUUCCUCUAAAAUGUCAGACAGUCCUUGAGAGAAGGUUGGUCUUGCUGACAUCUUGUUCACACUAUCAGUUUGUUAGGCAAACCUUCUUUGAUGGGGGGGGGGGGGGAGUCUAGAUUGCAGCCCCGCCCCUACGUAGUAGUGGUUCAGCAACAUAAACAUCACAUGGAAAUUUGGAGAAAUGAAAAUUCCUGGAGCUCCAGACCCACUGAACAGAACUCCGGGAGUGGGGUGCAGCACUCUUGAGGUUUCACAACGCUCUCCAGGACUUUCUGACACCCACGCAAAAAAGUCUGAGCACCCCUGGUCUAGGAGCACUCAUUUGCCACUUGAGUCACCGAGCUGUUCCUCCAUGUUGAUUUGGAGCCAGGGCUAAGCAUGGGUUAGUUUAAUAAUCAAAUACAGUUUAAAUUAGUGCAUUUCUGGGGGCUAUCCCUUACGCAGGGGAGGACUGGAAAGAGGGAAAAUCUGGCAGAUUUGGGAAGGCAGAAGGGUGGGGCUUGGGCCGCGAGCGGACGGCGGGACGAGGGCGCAGAAGGGGGAAUCGAAGGCUGCCGGGCUUCACAAUCUGGUUGGAAACGCCGUGCAGUGCCCGGGCCGCAGGAGCCGGAGCCAAUUACAAGUUUAUGUAAUAGAGUAAGUCUCUCUGGCCUCCCUCCUCCGCCCCGCCCCUGCCGGCCCCGGGAUCGGGGAGGAAUGUCUCUGAAAUGCAGGAUUGCUCCCGGAUGGAGGAGGUCCUUUCUGGGUUUACCCCUCGGGGUCCUUUCCCUGCGCGAGGCACUUCUCGGGUCCGCUUUUGGGUUCUGGAAGCCUCUGGGCCCCGCAGACCCCUCAGGGAAGCCGAGCGGGCCGGGAGCCAGGUCGCCCCAGGUCGGCCCGGAGCUAAGGGAGGAGCCGCCCGGGCGGCGUUCACGCGGCUUCCCCGUGUCACGGUGGGAGCUCGCCGGCCUUUACGUAAGCCCGGCCCUUCGCGGAGGCCCGUGUGAUACACGGAGUCACGGGAACGCGAGCGGGAGAGGGCCAGCCGUCCCCGCCCACGUGGCCGUCAGAUGACUUGCGCGAAGUUUGCACGGGCUCGAUUACCGUAAGGCUGAAGGCUUCUGAUCAGCAUCCGCUAUUAGUCAUCCCCGAGGGACAUUUGAUACAGGCAACCGCUCAGGGCUGGGACGGAGCAGCUAGGAUGACGGGAUACGGGAGUAAAUGCUCCGGCCACCUCUGAGUUCUGUUGGAACCCGAGUGUAUGCAGAGUCAAGGAAACCUACUGCGGAAAGUGCCAGGGAAGACAAGUCACUUUCCUGGACAAAGAUUCUUAGAUUCUUCUGGGCUAGUUGCAGAGAGUCCGGGAGAAACUGUUCAAAGGGAACCUGGCAGGCAACGGACCAGGCUUCAGAUUUAUGGAUUGGUUUUAGAGAUUCAGUGCUCCCCACCUGUUAAAAAUAUACGAUUUUCACAUCAACUAUCUGUCAGUUUCUCUAGCCUAGAGUGAGGCCCAAGGACCAGUCCUGCCUCCACCCAGAAUCGGAGUCUGUAUGUGAAGGAGCAUGUGCAUGCAGACAACACAGGUGUCCUAGCUGCUGAGUGUGACAGCCCAUGACUCAGGCUGUGGGAAGCUGGUAGAAUCUUGGCUUAUGAACUUUGAACCUAUUGAGUAAGCUUUGCUCACCUAUCAAAUCCCUCAUACCAACGAAGAAAUCUGGUUUGGGCUUUUACACUAAGCAAAUAGCUGAACUUAAACUGGGCAGUCAGCUGUAAGUUAUCUUCCUGAGACACAGUAACUUCAAGCUCCUCAUUGACAUUUGGCAGAUUGGAAGAUGGAAUUCAGACUGAGGAUUUGGGACAUCCACUUGGAUCCCUGGACAAGUCAGCACCCCAGGGAUGGAAGCAGCCAAGAAUCCAGGCAAGCGGCACCUGACUGCAGACUGCUUUGGUCUUGUUUGUCACGCAGACUCACCGCCUAGACAAGCUGAUUUUCCUAAGCCCUGGCAGACAGGUUCUGCUUCCCUUUAUCUCUCCACCCCCCAAACGCCAGUGCUCAGGGCUCAAGGAAUCAUUCCUUUGAUCUAUCUACAGAUGACAACUCAUUUGAGGAAGGCAUUUUCUUGAAUUAGGAGGGAUCUCAUCAUCAAUCCCACUUAAGAGAGUCCACGUGUUCGGUUAGUGGCUGACUUAGUUCGGAAACUUCUGCUAGAAAUAUGUCCCGAGCCCACAGCUAUAAAUGAGCUCAUGCUCUGGCAUAUUCUCAGACAUCCGUGACAUCACCUCCACCUGACGGCUCUGCUGUCUCUGUAGAGAUCUUGCCACAUCUCUCCACCUCCCCUUAAAUCCUGUUUUCAGAAUCUUAUGAUGCUUAAGUCCUCCCUGGGAGUGGUUGGCUCAGAGAGCUUAGGCCAUCUGCCAAAUCCAGAUGCAGCGGGAUGCACAGGCCCCAGGGACAUGGGACAGGUGUUCUCACCCACGGAGACCUGUUGGUCUAUGUCAGGGAAAACAUCAUAAUCGGCACUUGUAAUUUUAGUUUUCUGGAAUUCACCUGGCUUCAAAUUUCUAGCAGCUCUGUGCUCACAGGGAGCUCCUCCUGUCCAGGACCGGGGGGUGGGAUGCAAGAGGGCGGAGCAGGGUAGCUGCAUGGCUUGCUUUUGCCUUUUGCAGGCAAGAGGAUGAAACAGCUGACAUCUGUUGAGGGCGUGGGAAUCCCACUAUACUGGAAGCCUCUGAUAAAGUAAACCAAAACAUUUCAUUAAAAUUCAUUUCCUUUUCUCACAUCUUACUGAAAACAAAAAUAUUUCAACCUUGGCAUAGCCACUGAAUUAUUCAUCUGAAAAUGAAAAACAAAAAUAUAACAAAACUUCGAUGCAACACAGACUGGAUCCCCUCUGCCCUUUGCUCCUGGCCAUCCCCUUCCUCUGAAAUGAGGUGGGGUUCCUGGUUUCCCGCUGUGCCCAGUGCCAAGGGGGGGCAUAUUCUCUCUUGUGCUCUCAUGAGAAUGAUGCCUGAAUACCCAGUGUGGCUCCUGGGCACCAAGGGCCACGCGAUGCCAUGAUUCCUGGACCUGCAGAGCUCAGGAGGCAGGGAGAGUCCAGGCAGGGCACACAGGGCAGCGCAGGCGGUGGCCUGGGGAGAGCACCUCAUCAUUCUGCAUAACAGGUGCCAGGCCAGGAGGAAAGCCUGGGACCUGCGUGUAGUUCCAGUGCCCACUAUGCCCCCGGGCAAUCCUCCUGUGCAGGCUUUGCCCUCCAUUCCCCCUGGGGGCUGAUGCUGAAAGAGAACGCCAGGGCCCUGGGACACUCACGCCUGCACACACUCAGCUGGUAGGGGAGGGGCAGUUAGGGACCGACGGCUGUCCUCUGGAUGCCCUCUCUAGGGUCAUCCAACUGGACUUCUCUCCCCUUUCAAGGCUGUCUUCCUUUGCUGUUCACUUUAACCAGAUGGUACUUGCCUAACAAUUUGGGAGAAGAGGUGGGCCCUUUCCCCAGGUGGGCCUUUGGGAUCCCUGCCCUCUCCAGACCGGGCACCCCCAUCAGGCUGUGCCCUUCUCUCUGAUCUCUGCCAGCACUCCUUGGAGCUCCCUACAUGAGCCCUGGCUCUAUGGAGGCCAACU